UGGGGAAUCUUCCGCAAUGGGCGAAAGCCUGACGGAGCAACGCCGCGUGAGUGAAGAAGGUCUUCGGAUCGUAAAGCUCUGUUGUCGGGGACGAAUGUUGAGGCCUAGAACAUAGGCUUCAAAUGACGGUACCUGACGAGGAAGCCACGGCUAACUACGUGCCAGCAGCCGCGGUAAUACGUAGGUGGCGAGCGUUGUCCGGAAUUAUUGGGCGUAAAGGGAGCGCAGGCGGGAAGGUAAGUCUAUCUUAAAAGUGCGGGGCUCAACCCCGUGAGGGGAUAGAAACUAUCAUUCUUGAGUGCAGGAGAGGAAAGCGGAAUUCCUAGUGUAGCGGUGAAAUGUGUAGAUAUUAGGAGGAACACCAGUGGCGAAGGCGGCUUUCUGGACUGUAACUGACGCUGAGGCUCGAAAGCCAGGGGAGCGAACGGGAUUAGAUACCCUGGUAGU
rnacentral:rRNA from 1 species